rnacentral:rRNA from 1 species
UACGUAGGUGGCAAGCGUUGUCCGGAUUUAUUGGGCGUAAAGGGCGCGCAGGCGGUCCGUUAAGUCCGAGGUGAAAUCUCCCGGCUCAACUGGGAGGGGUCUUCGGAUACUGGCGGACUUGAGGAGUGCAGAGGUGAGUGGAAUUCUCGGUGUAGUGGUGAAAAUGCGUAGAUAUCGAGAGGAACACCAGUGGCGAAGGCGGCUCACUGG